AGUGAACGCUGGCGGUAUGCCUAACACAUGCAAGUCGAACGGCAGCACAGUAAGAGCUUGCUCUUACGGGUGGCGAGUGGCGGACGGGUGAGGAAUACAUCGGAAUCUACUUUUUCGUGGGUGAUAACGUAGGGAAACUUACGCUAAUACCGCAUACGACCUACGGGUGAAAGCAGGGGAUCUUCGGACCUUGCGCGAUUGAAUGAGCCGAUGUCGGAUUAGCUAGUUGGCGGGGUAAAGGCCCACCAAGGCGACGAUCCGUAGCUGAUCUGAGAGGAUGAUCGGCCACACUGGAACUGAGACACGGUCCAGACUCCUACGGGAGGCAGCAGUGGGGAAUAUUGGACAAUGGGCGCAAGCCUGAUCCAGCCAUACCGCGUGGGUGAAGAAGGCCUUCGGGUUGUAAAGCCCUUUUGUUGGGAAAGAAAAGCAGCAGGUUAAUACCCCGCUGUUCUGACGGUACCCAAAGAAUAAGCACCGGCUAACUUCGUG
rnacentral:rRNA from 1 species